GCGCUCAUCAGUGCUGCCACUCCCCCCUGUUUCCUUUGGGGAAAAAUAGCAAUGAAGCAGCCAGAGAAGGCUUCUUCCUCCUACCUAUAUCGCCGGCCCUUUGAUUCCUUCAUUCCGUCUGGCUGGGUAUUCCGGCAGCGGGAGCUUGAAGGUCGAGAAAUAGAUCCACUGGUGGUAUGAGCUAUACACAUGGACAACAAGACAUGGAAUAACAAUUGGUAUCAUCAAGAAAGCAUUUUACAAAGAACACUUCUGCUACAUCAGUGGUCAAGAUAUAUGCAGACGACAAGGAUAUGUGUGGCAUUGAGCUUCGUCUAGCUAGACCUGUGUGAAUUUUAUGUGAGUAGCUUUGCCAGUCGGAAUUAACUCAAAUUGAGAAGGAGAAGAUGUAAAUCAGGGAAGGGGCUAAAAGGGACGAGGAGGAGGAGGAAAGGGGAAGGAGAGGCGCAGGAGAAAGAGGUAGCCACACAGCAACCAGCUAGAGAUUGUAGGCAUCUAGCUAGGGUACUCCUCAAGGCCCACUGGAGUAGUAUAAGUAAAAGUUGCAGGGUGGUGCAGCUAUGCAUGCAGGCUUUCUCUUCAUGGCCGGAUGGCAGUGGCAUUUGAUGUAGCUAGCUCUCAAAACUGUUGAUCUGUCCUUGUAUGUGGGCUCAGGAAAGGUAAGGUUGUCCAGCUUAACUAGUGCCGCUUCUUGGUGGCUCCUGGGUGUGUGUGUGGGCAAACGAUGAAGGCAUUAUUAUGAGGCCAAUCCCUAUAUGUGUGUGCAGUUACGACUGUAGGGACAUGUGGGGAGAGCUAUAUGCCAAUACACAUCUGAGCAUGGUCAGGUAUUUGUACACAUCUAACCAUACAGUGGUAGAUAACGAUGGGAUAUUUAGCACAACCCCCGUUGUCUGUUAGUUCACUAGGGCAUAGACAUCUUCGACCUAAGAUUGAGGCAAUUUGUUGCCUAGUUGGGGCCUACUACUACCCAACGGCCCUACCAAAUAAUGAACAGGCCGAGAAAGACAAUCGAGCAAGUCCAUUUUUAAACACAUCACACAACAUCUUUUGCAGUACUAAUGAGUGAAUAAACUAAUCCUCUCAUCUCUAAACUUGGGCCUUCGGAAUCCCCCCCGAACAUGUGCAGGAUAACACACCUCUUGCCCUAAACCACCGUGGUUUUGGUGCAGAGGGAGCCAAGGUGAUAUACUGGCUGACAUAGCAUGUGAUAAGUUGAUUACUGAACAGAUUUGCUACGGCUCAGUCAAAGUACCUAACCAUGUGGUUUCAUUGAGGAUUUGUGGACUGAUAGCGUUAGGGUUCAAGUGUUCAUAGAGGUAGCACAAUCAUCAGAUCAUCGACACGCGGAAUUGAGGACACAUGGAGAGAGGGACCAGAGCUUCUUGUAGUAGUUUAUCAAUGCAUGAUAGAAUUCAGUUGGCUGAACAAUGGACGAAGACGAGGGAUUGCCGGACUAGCCUCUUGAAAAUAUAUGUCGUCAACAUAAAUAUGUUAACUGCUUGAGCUACAUUAGUUGUGCUCGUUAGAAAUUUCCUAGAGCAGAUAGCAUCAUAAUCAAAAGCCACCAAAAAAGUUACAUAGUGCAGAACCCAUUGUAUGUUUUUAAUCAUUUGAUUCGGAUCUAUUUUAAC